rnacentral:rRNA from 1 species
UACGUAGGGUGCAAGCGUUAAUCGGAAUUACUGGGCGUAAAGGGCGCGUAGGCGGUCAUUUUAGUCAGGCGUGAAAUCCCCGGGCUCAACCUGGGAAUUGCAUUGGAGACUGCAAGGCUAGAAUCUGGCAGAGGGGGGUAGAAUUCCACGUGUAGCAGUGAAAUGCGUAGAGAUGUGGAGGAACACCGAUGGCGAAGGCAGCCCCCUGGGUCAAGAUUGACGCUCAUGCACGAAAGCGUGGGGAGCAAACAGG